GACGAACGCUGGCGGCGUGCUUAACACAUGCAAGUCGAACGGAAAGGCCCUGCUUUUGUGGGGUGCUCGAGUGGCGAACGGGUGAGUAACACGUGAGUAACCUGCCCUUGACUUUGGGAUAACUUCAGGAAACUGGGGCUAAUACCGGAUAGGAGCUCCUGCUGCAUGGUGGGGGUUGGAAAGUUUCGGCGGUUGGGGAUGGACUCGCGGCUUAUCAGCUUGUUGGUGGGGUAAUGGCUUACCAAGGCUUUGACGGGUAGCCGGCCUGAGAGGGUGACCGGCCACAUUGGGACUGGGAUACGGCCCAGACUCCUACGGGAGGCAGCAGUGGGGAAUAUUGCACAAUGGGCGGAAGCCUGAUGCAGCAACGCCGCGUGCGGGAUGACGGCCUUCGGGUUGUAAACCGCUUUCGCCUGUGGCGAAGCGUGAGUGACGGUAAUGGGUAAAGAAGCACCGGCUAACUACGUG
rnacentral:rRNA from 1 species